rnacentral:lncRNA from 1 species
UUGCCACCACACCAUUUCAGUGCUGUGCAACUCCUUGAUUUAUAAAACAAAAACAUUUUUUAGAUUGAAAAUUACUUUCUCUGCAUAGAAUCUUUCUGGGGUCGAAUUGGAUACCAACUAGCCAGAACACCUCCUGCACAUGCUCGUGACAGUGAUGACUCUUUUGGACCUCGCUUUGUGCCCAAAGGAGCUGCUGCACCUCCUGCUCCUGAUGAUAUUUUUCGGGUUAGCGUUGCACCCAAAGCUCCCCAUACACCUGCUACUCCUGUUCCUGCUCCUGCUGGUAAGUCUGCUUUUUAGGCAAUUACAGUCACUGGGAUGUGGGUCCCUAGCCAGCAUCUCCCUUCAUGCUGCACAGCUUCUGUAGGCAAAUACAGCAGCAAUUAAUUAAAAAC